AAUAUAAUUAUUGCUUAAUAUAUUAGGAAAAGUAAUUUUAAGGGUUUAAAUUAAGUAACUAGUAGUGAAUAGUUGAGUUAGCGAUAGUAAAAUAGUACUGAAAAGGAAAUAUGAAAUAAUAUGAAAAUUUAAUUUUAAAAUAGCAGAUAUUAGUAAUCGUACCUUGUGUAUCAGGGGGCUAUUAAUAAAUUUUAUUUAUUUAAAAUUCCCAAAAGAGAAAGAUCUAAUAGCCCGCAAAUGUUUAUGUAUCAUUAUAAUUUUUAACGGGUUAUUAGUAGUGAAAUAUUAAUCGGUUUCUUUGAUAUUUGGUUCCCUAAGAAAUAAAUUUAAUUUACUUUUUUGUUAAUUUUGUCUAAAUUAAUAGUAAAGAUAACAUAAAGGUUAGGGCUUGAGGGAUUAGCUUCUAGCCCUAUUAACAAUUAUGUGUAAUUUGUGAGAAAGAGUUAUGUUUUUAUGCUUAGAAAUAGCAAUAAGUAAAAAUAGUGUUAUAAUUUACAUUUAUUAUGAAAUUAUUUUUUAUAAAAUUCACAUUUUUUAUUAGGGUAAGUACUAAAUUUUAAUAAGAAUUUAAAUAAUAUAGUUAUGAGUAGAAAUUUAUUGCAAAUUGUUAUUUUUUUUGUAAAUUAUGAUUAAGGAACUCGGCAAAUAUAUUUUUCGCCUGUUUAUCAAAAACAUCUCCUUAUGAUAUAAUAUAAGGUAUAGCCUGCUCUAUGAAUUGUUUUAAAUGGCCGCGGUAUUUUGACCGUGCGAAGGUAGCAUAAUCAUUAGUCUUUUAAUUGAAGGCUGGUAUGAAUGGCUGGACGAGAAAAUUUCUGUCUCUAUCAUAAAAUUUGAAUUUUAUUUUUAAGUGAAAAAGCUUAAAUAAUUUUGAGGGACGAUAAGACCCUAUGGAUCUUUAUAUGAAUUUAUAAUAAAAAGAUUGGAGAGUUACGGCUUAUUAUAAAUAAAUAUUGUGUUGGGGCGACUGAAAGAAAUAAAUAUCUCUUUUUAAUAAUAAAUAUAACUUUAUAGAAGUAUAAUGACCCUUAAUUUUGGUUUAUAAGACUAAGUUACCCUAGGGAUAACAGCGUAAUUUUUUCAGAGAGUUCUUAUCGAUGAAAAAGUUUGCGACCUCGAUGUUGGAUUAAGAUAUCCUUAUGGCGCAGCUGUUAUAAAGGAAAGUCUGUUCGACUUUUAAAUUCUUACAUGAUCUGAGUUCAAACCGGCGUGAGCCAGGUUGGUUUCUAUCUUCAAAUUUUUUAUUUCAUUUUAGUACGAAAGGAUUAAAUGGGGAGAGUAUAGCUUUAUAAUUAGAAUAAUAUUAAUAUCUUU
rnacentral:rRNA from 1 species